rnacentral:rRNA from 1 species
GACGAACGCUGGCGGCGUGCCUAACACAUGCAAGUCUAACGAGAAAGGGGUAGCAAUAUCCUGAGUACAGUGGCGCACGGGUGAGUAACACGUAGGCAAUUUGCCUUCAGGACGGGGACAACCUCGAGAAAUCGGGGCUAAUACCCGAUAAUGCAGCGGCACCGCAUGGUGACAGUUGUUAAAGGCCCGCAAGGGCGCCCGGAGAUGAGCCUGCGUCCCAUUAGGUAGUUGGUGAGGUAACGGCCCACCAAGCCUACGAUGGGUAGCUGGUCUGAGAGGAUGAUCAGCCACACUGGAACUGAGACACGGUCCAGACUACUACGGGAGGCAGCAGUGAGGAAUAUUGCGCAAUGGCCGAAAGGCUGACGCAGCGACGCCGCGUGAAGGAUGAAGUCCGUUAGGAUGUAAACUUCUUUUGCAGGGGAAGAAUGUGGCGCCUUGGGCGCCAUUGACGGUACCCUGCGAAUAAGGGUCGGCUAACUACGUGCC